rnacentral:lncRNA from 1 species
UAAACCAAAAGCAUGGAUGUACUGUGUAUAUGAGAGAAUGGUUUCACUGCAACAGCUCCUGCAUUGAAUACUGUUGAUUUUUAAAACUCUGUUGUUCAAGUAAAUUAAAAAUAUCAUCUUUUAGUUUGUAGUCCGUAGUUUUUAGUUCAGAAUUUAAUCAAAUGAUUUUGGUUUCUUUAUAGAUUAUGCCAAGGACUUGAAUGGAUGAUGUCACGACUUAAGAUUAGAUGAUCUCUACUGACCUCUUCUCAUAGACUUUGUAUAAACAAAGUGCUGGACUUUACCUGAAAGCUGCAAAAAUUAAUGGUUUAGAUAUAUUUAUAAUAAACUGAUUUCAAUUUUUUUCUAUAAGAAGAAAAAUUAAGACCACUUAUUUGAAAACAAGAUGGGAGUCUCAUCUUCCAAUUUGCUUUCUCAUUAGUUCCUUUCAAAGUACUUUAUUAAAGCUGUGAUUGACAUUUUUCUCAAUGAAUCCUCUCAGGACAAUGUAUAGCCUGUGGUAAGUACAAAGGGAGAGGAAGAUGUUUUGAACUUUAAGAGCUUUAUUAUCAGUAUACCCCUCCCCAACUGAAUGUUGUUCUCUUUUUGUUCCACUAAGUCAAAAUACAAAUCAGCACAGAUACUGUUUCCAAUAUUUUAAAUGUCAUGUUAGUUAUGAAAAAAAAAAAAAAGUAUUUUACUUAAGGUUGUGUGUGUAUUAUGUAUAUACCUCAAGUUCAAGUUAAUGGCUUUGAUUUGUGUUCUAAAGAAAAGCAAAUAACGCAAAAAUUAGUAAUAUCCUUAGUUAUUGCCCUAAUGAGAUAAGUACUGGCAUUGGUAUUAAGUGCCAUUUUAUACUUUUCCUGUUUGUUUUCUGUAUUGUACUAAUCAAACGUCCCCUCUCCCCCAAUCAUUGAGCUGCUCUUAAGAAAAAAAAAGAUACAGGAAAAAGCUUGACAUUGUAUACCCAUUUUUGUUGAUCAGUAACACACAUAGAAAUGUGUAAUCCAACUAAGUGAAAUAUCUGUCAAAUUUUUGGCUUACCCAGUUGACAGAAUUGCACAGUGGAGCAUUGAUCAGAUUAAUCCUUGUAUUGGUCUAAAUUAUUGAAUAGAUUAUUAAUCCACUUAUAAAUCAAUCAUAAAUUGUGAUUAAAACUAUCAAGUGAUUUCUUCUUAAUUAAAAUCUAUUGUGUGAAACAUGUCUACCCAAAGAGGUAACAUUCUAUAAAUAUUAUUAAACAAUUAGCUAGAGUCUUUUUAAGUAUAAAAUUAUGUAUGUCAAGCUGUUAAAAUGAGAGUACAAGUAAUGCAUAAAAAAUUUCUGAGCAACAUUUGAAAUUUUUUAAUUUGCAGAUUUCUUAUUUCUUAUUUUAGGAUUUGGAAUCCUUUUGAGGUUUUUUUGUUGUUCUUAAGUUUUCUUUGAUCUUUCACCUUGUAAAUGCAUUGUUUAACAAUUAAUAGUGGUAAAUUUUUAAUGCUGUUGGCUGGAAAACUGAUUGGUGUAUGAUAUAUUAUUCGUACUAAGAAAUAACUUGACCCAAAAUACCUUUUGUUUGCUUAGGUUUCUUUCUUUCUUUUUAAUGUCUGAAAAUUGAAGGUAUUUUUGUCAUAAUUGUAAACAGAAUUAUCCUGUAUUAAAAUAUAUACUCUAUUUGUGUAUCUUUUAUGCCCUGAAAAUUUGAAGGUUAAUCCAUACUGGCAUGUUUUAGAACAUUCAAAAAAAGAAAUUACUUUUAAUACCAACCUUUUAAAUUUCAUGAAGAUUUUGGUAGGAAUAAUAGUAUAUACUAUAAGCAUUGACAAAACUGAAAAUUUCUUUCUAUGAAAUAUAAAAUGCUCAGUAUCUAAAUCCAAGUUGGGUGUGGUAUAUCAGUGUUAACUUUGGAUGUUUUGUGUUUUAUAUUUAUGUUGCAGUGUUCAAAAUGCAAAUAUAACAUUUAAUAUUUGUCAUGCUUCUACAAAAGUGAAUUCUAAAUUACUAAGCUUUGUCCAUAUGUACUCAUACUUUUGGAAUUACUUGUUGUAUAUUAAAAAUUCCCUUAAAAACCCAAUUCUAUUUUGCAGUUUCAUCAGAAACAAAUAUCCUUUAAUAGAGUCCCAAAAUCUACACUCUUUGUCCUUUUUAUUUUUUAAUGUGAGUAAUCAUGUACUUAUCCUUGGAUUGCUGUCCUGUCAAUACAAUACAGAUACAUUCAAUUGUCAUCAAAGUGUUGGAAAAGUAUUUUAAGUGGAUGUGUAAAGAAAGCAUGCAUUACAUUAUUAAGAGGUGGUUUAGUGUAAUUGACUACUGUCAUGAUAUCAUGAGAAUGCUUGGUAUCUUACAUGACAUUAACAAAACAUGACUUUUUUAUUUUCUACCCUUCUAGACUGAGCAUCAGAAAUAAAACAGUACCUGUGUGCUUGUAUGUAAAACCAAAAUUGCAACUGUGAAAAAAAGAUAUCAUUUCUUCUAUGAAAAUAUCAAAAUCAUUUUAACAGUAUUUUUCCAAAUAAGAUGGAGAGCCUCAUGAACAGUCAUUCUGGCAAUUUAUAUGUAGUUUAAGUGGAAAUAAGCAAAGAAUAAUUCUUUUGGGUUUUUAAUGUUAUUUGGGGUUAUUUAUGCUCAGCUUUGGAAAGAACGAAGAUUUGUAUCUCUAUACAUGUAGCAAGAUUUAAAUACCUGUUUUGAUACUAAUUUUGAGAGUCAUAACUUCUUUUGAUAUGUUGGUAGAAAUUAAAAAUGAGCAUAUGCUAAAGCAUUAAGAUAUACUUAAUUUUGUCAUAAUAGCAUUUAUAAAGUAUAUCUUUCACAUUAUAUUAAAGGUUCUUGUUUGAAAUUUUCAGUUUUCUUUAUCUUCCUAGCACAUCGUGGCCCUCACAAUGGGCAAAGAAUACAGUGAAGACAAGUGGGGUAGGGGCAGUGGGGAGUGGGCAUUCAUUUCCUUAUAUGAUAUUUUGCCUUAAGAGUAAAAAAGUGCUUUAGCACUGUUGGUUGGCAUAUUUAAUGCAGGUGGAGAAAGUGUCUUUAGAAGUAUGACACAAAAUAGAGAACAGAAGAGUUUCUGGCCUUUUAAGAAGUGCCUGGUAGGUAGAUACAGAGUCACAGAAAAGUGCAGAGAGCUUGAGGAAAGGUGUGAAGUCCUUGAGAUGUUCUUUUUCUUUUGUCUUUAGGGUAUAGUAUUAAGAUGCCUAGAAAUGGGACUGUAUUGUCUCUCUCAUGGGCACUUUACAUUUCUUGCUGUCAGUACAGCAGCCACAUACAGUACAGUCAACCUCAAAAUCUGUUUAUAAAAGUAAUGUAAAUAGAAAAAUUAUAGACAACUUUCUAGUUUUCUGUGCAGGCAGUUUUGGGAAUGUACUGUAGUCUGCUCUGCUUUGUAUAUAGGGGAAAAGAGCACAUUGUAGAUUACCUGUGACUUUUUGUCAUCUUCUCUUAAUUGCCCAGGGUAUCCUGGCCUCAAUCUCAUUUUCAGGGUUUGGGUAGAGGUAAGAUUUUUCUCAUGACUCAACUUUGAUCCCUUCCACUUCUUGCUUCAGGAUUGACCUUUCCCAUAGCUCAAUUAUCCAUUGUUCUCCUGAAGGUACACUAAACUUUGUCUAUAACCAUUAUUUCCCAAACCACUAGUUCUAAAUAGCUCAUCUAGUUUCUAGCUAUCUACCUACCAUUGCCUUUGUUUGCUUGUUUGGAUUUUGUUCAUUAAAGGGCAUUUUAAGAGUUGUUGAGUCCAUCAGAAGACCAGAUUGCAAUGUAUACAGCAUAUACGUGCCAAUAGUAGAAUCCUGUAUAUUAUACUGUAUUUAACAUUUAAUGCUUCUUAAUUUUUCAUAUGCUGCAAAAGUAGAUUCAGAAAGAUAAGAGAAAUACUUAAACUCUGCCAGUUCCUUGAGCUACUAGUAAGGUCUGGAGGAUAUUAAGUUAUAUGUGCAUUAUUUUCCCACUACCAAGAAUGGUUAUGUUUUGGAGCAUACCAGUUCAAGUAAUUUAAGUUGGAAAAAGAUACCAAAUCUUUAUGUAGUGUUUAACUUAAAGAUAUCCUUAAACCAUUGCCCACAUUCCAUUUUUCCCCCUCAUGUUUACUUAAAGAACAAAGAUCAAUAUUAGAUUUCUAAAGGAAUUAGUAAUAAGAAACUUAGUUUUACAAAAUAAGCCUAUUGGGAUGGACUUUAAAAGACAUUAGAAUAAUCAACCAUUAUGUAUUGGCUGUGUAAAUGCAGGUAUAAAAAAGAAAAAGGCCUUUAAACUUUAAAGCUCCACUUACACAAAAGAAUGUAUUAAAGAUUAUUUUAAGAUCAUGAUAGUGGAGUCAAGGAAGGCAAGCUAGAAUAGAACACUUUGCUAAAAAGUGUCUGCUUCUCUUUAACCUUAAAAUGGUAUGAAAUUUUGAAGAAAUGUAAUAGGAUACAGUUGGGUUAGUUAUGCAAUAUUUCUUAUUGAUUUUGUAGCCUUUCCUCCUUUACAUGUUGUUCUGAAAGCUAAAGUUUAAAUCUUUAUGGUAUUGUAUGCUAGAUAAUGCCAUUCUUUGGUAGAAAAUUCCCAUAGUCUGUAUCCAAGAAGUGCCUAAAAUUGAUUUGUGUUGAUUUUUAAAUCCAUCUAAUAAAUUAUGUGUUUUAUAUGGUAUUGUAUGUGCUUGUCUUACUGAUGACACAGACCUGAGGGUUUUUAAGUCACAGUUUAUGCUUUAUUUGAAUAAAAAGGUUUAAAUUUAAAGAUAUCCACCUAACCCUCAUCAAGCAUAGAAUAAAAGCAUCAGCAAAAUUAUUUUUUGUCUUUUCUAAUAACAGUUUUUCAUGACCUUGUCAUUCGUUAAUGCAGCAACUAGAAAACUGAACUCUUACUGUUUUUUUAAACAGUUUUUUAAAAAAAAUGUAAUGUUUAUAUUUGAAGACCUCAAAAUAAGAGUUUGUUGCUUAUGUAAGAGCCUCUUCAUUCUCGGUUAGUGGUUAGCAGUUUUGACUGUCAAAACAUUUAGUGUUCAGUCAUUUCAUUUCCUUUGUUUAGAUAGUGCUUAACCGAAAUAUUUGAUAAAAUCAAUACAUUUCUCGUAUAUUGUUCUGUUUAUAAAACUGAGCAUAAAAUAACUGUAAAUUCUAGAGAAAAGCUUGACUGUAUUUUCAGCAAUGUACAUUACAUUGUGUUCAUAAGUCAUUUUGCAUGAAAAAUGAAAUGUGUAUCUUAUUUUAAAUUAAUGUGUACUAUUCCCUUUCCCCAAACUUCUUACAUUGAUGUUAUACAGAAUUCUAGUUCAUUAGAUUGGAGUAGCCUUUUCUUAUAUUGUGCCCCUCUAGGUUCCAUGAGGUAAGGUGAUACCUGCAAAGCACUUUUAAAGAUAUUUUUUAUGUUAAUCUCCAGGAUACAGCAUUGAGGAGGCAGCUAUAUCUAAUGAAGGCUCUUUUGAUUGCUAGAGAUGAGAAAAGUAUAUACUAAUAGUUUUAAUUUCUGCACAAAAUACAUUUUAUUAAUUGUCUUGAUUUAAAAUAUGACAAAUCCUUGUAGAUAUUGUUCUUAUCAUAUUUUCCCAGAGGAGCCUAAGUAAAAAUGUGUUCCAACUGGCCUGUUUAUAUAACUUCCACCACAAUUGCUACCCCAAAUUGAGCUCUCUGAAUAUUGACAAGUUAGAAAGCCUUAUGAAAAUUUUUGUUUCUUGAAAUUUUCAGUAUGACAAAAGGUUUUCACUUGAGGUCUGCAUGCAAAAAGGGUUGGAAAGUUUGUCUUACCUCUCUGCUGUUUUAUGAACUGUUUCUCUACAUACUAAGGAUAUUUCACACUGAAGGAAUAUUCCAGGAAAUGAGGGUGUUGAAAUUGUUUGAUGCUUUUGUGUUUCCUCAGUGCAGAUGUGUUAGAUGUCUAGGAAGCAGUGCUUGACCAGACAGCUUCAUGGAUGGCUGGAGGAUAUUUAUGUUUACUCUGAAGAAAGGAGGAAUCGGGCAUAUUGGAGUGGGGACCUUUUCAUUGGUAAAGCAGUGUAAUCAGCUGCUUUGCAGAUGUGCUACUUCAUUAUACUUGCAUCAACGUUCUUAUGCCCAUAAUUGACUGAAAUGUCAGGCUCCAGAAAUGUAAGGUGUUGGCCAGAUGACCAGUAAUAGGACCUUGUGGAUUAUGAAGUGGAGGAAUAAUGUCAAGGUAGUUUGAGCAGUAAUGACAAAGUUUUACUGGUAAAUUUCCAUGUUUGAUAUGUACAUUAAUCUUUAAAACAAAAAAGUUGCAUGUUAACCUGGUACAAAGUAUUGUCUCUGCUUUAUGCUUCAAGUAAAAAGAAACAUACUUGAGUUUCAAUUGUUAUUCUAUUAUGUACUGUUAUAUAUUCCUUUUCUUUUAGAAAAGGUUAAUUAUAAUUACUCUUCACA